AUCAGGCUGACGAGUCCCAAAUAGGACGAAAUGCGCAUCCUGGAU
rnacentral:hammerhead_ribozyme from 1 species